GGAGAGGUGCCAGAGUGGUCGAAUGGACUGGUUUCGAAAACCAGCAGGCGUGCAAACGUCUCGGGGGUUCGAAUCCCCCUCUCUCCUCCA
rnacentral:tRNA from 2 species